rnacentral:misc_RNA from 1 species
UUCUUCUUCCUCUUCUCCUUCUUUCAAGCCUUUGCCCGUCGUUGAAAUUCCUUUGCAAGAGACAUCGAUCGCACCACAGCAAACUAGCGUCCCCACUGAGGUCAGCAAAGCCGAUUCUGGCUAUCACCGCAUGGAAAAGCUCACUGUAAGCGUCUUUAUUUGCUUGUUUUUUAUUGGGAAAUUUUGGUAUGCUCUGUUAUUGCGGUGCAUUGAAGUGACAAUGAAAAGUUGAUUUUUGAUUGGAUGGGCUCUGAGAUAUGAUCAACGCAAUCAUAUACUAAUUGUAUUAGGAUAUUUAUUUAUUGUUAUUAUUAAUUUUGCUUUUAACUAUUAGGUGAGAGUUCGUUUUCUUAUAGUUAUAAUGUGUAGCAGAAAAAUUUAAGUAAUAAAUAAUGAAUAACCCGUAAUUUAUAUGCUGAAGCACUUGAUUUUAAUGGGGUCUGUCUGACUUUGAUUUCAUGUUCAAAUAAAUUAGUAUUUUCGAUGAUGUGGGAAAAUGUAUUCCCUAGUGGACUCCAUUUUCAGGUAUAUUUUAGAUCUUUGCUGGCAAAGAAAUAAGAUUUUAAUCAGCGGAUGUUGUUCUAUAAUAAUUAGGUGGUACUUGACUUGGAUGAAACGCUAGUUUCUGCAUGUGAAACAUCUAGCUUGCCUACCAGUAUUCGUAAUCUAGCAAUAGAAGCUGGUUUGAAGUGGUUCGAGUUAGAAUGUUUCUCUCCAGACAAGGAAUGUGAAGGAAAAACAAAGAUCAAUUAUGUGACAGUGUUCGAACGACCUGGCUUGCAUGAGUUCUUAAAACAGAUUAGUGAAUUUGCAGAUCUUGUUUUGUUUACUGCUGGUCUUGAAGGUUAUGCUGGGCCACUUGUUGACAGGAUAGAUGUGGAGAAACGAUUCAGCCUACGUCUUUAUCGGCCUUCAACUGUCAGCACGGCAUAUAGAGAACAUGUGAAAGAUCUGUCCUGUUUAUCCAAAGAUCUCUGUCAAAUUGUAAUAGUUGAUAAUAACCCAUUCAGUUUUUUGUUGCAACCGUUGAAUGGAAUACCAUGCAUUCCUUUUUCUGCUGGACAGCCAUAUGAUAAUCAGGUAGGUAGCUUUUCUCAUGCUAAUGAAGAAUUUAAAAUCUUUAAUGGCAAAUACUUCUGUUUUCCCUCAAUGCUGUUUGUUUCUGUCAACUGGCUUGUUUAGCUUUUGGACGUCGUCCUUCCACUCCUCAAGCAUCUGUCCCUUCAAAAGGAUGUUAGGCCUGUACUUUAUGAGAGGUUCCACAUGCCUGAAUGGUUUCAAACGCAUGGAAUUCCUGCUGCUUGUUGACACUAAAAUUAACUAAGUUUGGUUGGAACAGCUGUGAUUCUUGUCUGGGCGAUGCAGAAGAUACCUGUUUCCAUUGUAACAUUUUGCCACCAGAUACUGCCAUUUCUUGUAUAAUGUCAUUCUUAUGGUUAUGAACAGGUGCAGUAAAAGAGGUAUACUUGCUAAAGACACCUUCUGGAUAGUUACAUCUUUUGUUGUAGUUGCUAAGCAGGUUUAUGAUGAUAUUAGUUGACUCCAAUUCUUUUGUAAUUAGGUGUACUGCCACCAGUGUUGAUGAAUUUGAA